rnacentral:rRNA from 1 species
UACGUAGGUGACAAGCGUUGUCCGGAUUUACUGGGCGUAAAGCGUGCGUAGGUGGUUUGUUAAGUCUGAUGUGAAAGCCCUGGGCUCAACCUGGGAAUUGCAUUGGAUACUGGCAGGCUAGAGUGCGGUAGAGGAUGGCGGAAUUCCCGGUGUAGCAGUGAAAUGCGUAGAGAUCGGGAGGAACAUCUGUGGCGAAGGCGGCCAUCUGGACCAGCACUGACACUGAGGCACGAAAGCGUGGGGAGCAAACAGG